UAAGAAAACCUUUGGGUUGAGGGCAUUUCUGGCCGGGUUUUCCAAUAAAACAAGUGUCCGUUAAGAUGGACGUUCGAAACGUCCUUUAUUUGACAUUGGAUUGCCCUCGUUUGCCCACUUGGUUGGUAUAGGUGAAUUUAAUUUUCUCUUUUCUUUGUUCGAUUAUCAACUCUGCAGGCCCCUCUUCCAUGGAAAUCCAUCCAACUUCAAGAGGACUCAGUAGGGCAGAACUGCUCCUGAAAUGCCAAAAUGGGGAAAACAGCUUGAGAAUGUUAUGAGGCAAGAUAGACUGGCGUGAAAGAUAUUUUCAUCUCCACUCACUGGGUGCCAACUCAGGACAAAGUUAGGAGAACGGUGCAGUAUGUGCUGUAAAUUAAUACUGAAUGGAACAGUAAUACUCUAGGAGUAAGUCCCGGUUUCUCUUCUCCUGGCCUGUCAAAAACCAGCUUUAUGAUUUUGGCAAGUUAUUUAACUACAGAUUCUUUCACGUAUAAAAUGUCAAGUCUGAUCUUCAAUGUUGGAUUCCAGAUCUAUUUUUCAGAAAGUCUGAGAGAGAAUGCUCAAAUGCCACAUGAUGACUGAAUCUCAAGGACAGAGGAAUCCUUUAGACAUCCAGGCAGAAAGAGCAAAUUAUCUUCAAGAGGGGAAAAAUAAAACUGGCCUUCAGCUUGUCUGUCGCCACAUCCAGGUCCAAAGACAAGGAAGCCAAGUCCUCCCGAGUGUUGCUCAGAGUGGGAUCCACAGACAACAGGUGGUUCAUUUCAGUCACACAGAGAUACCAUCCGAUCCUGAAUCCUCGACGAAGGAUCAUCAACAGAUCAACUGGAUACCUGUUUUCCCGAGAAUAAAAGAUACUCAUGUUCAGAAGCUGAUGUCUGAAUCCUUUCAGCCCUCCAUCUUUCACAACACUCGCUGAUAAUUACUACUUGUCAAUGCUUGUUAAGAACGGCCUACAUCUACUUUCUGACUCUUGGAAUAAAACAUACACACAAUGGGCAUAAUUUCUGAAACUCAACAUGGAGACUCUGUAAAUCUAGCACACUUCAUUAUCUAAAUGUGACAACAUGAAAAUGAUUUUUUUUUUUGCAUUUGUGAAAUUCAAGAGUGCUCAUCACCUUCAGGGAAAUUGGUCUUUGUUCUUGGAGUAUUACAAGUACAUUGCUUAAAUUGCCUGUGCCAAGGAAUACAGAAAUAGAACAAAGAGUGUGCACAUAUAGCAUCCUGAAAAAUGAUUUCAUAUUACUCGUUAGUCUGCUUCCAAAGCAUUAUACAAAAUUGAUUGAAGAGAUAUCUGGAAUAUCAUCUAUCACAGCUCAGCUCCCUCAUCUCCCUUAUGACUUAUUUUUAAAAUGCUGUUUUUAAGACACAAGGCUCAAUUCAUUUUUUGGAAGGCACACUCAUAGAUAUUUGCUCAGCUCUUGUUACAGAAACUUUUUUUUUCUUUGAAGGAAUCUGUCACGGGGAACAUGAAAUCUAAAAAAUGUCUUAUUUUCUUCCUUUACUAUCGACUCAAAACCAGCAUUGAUCAUAAAUUCCUAAAAUAAUUCACCCAGAUAAAUGAAAGUUAAAAGGUUAAAUGUAUACAUUUUUAGACAAGCCAAAAGUGUAGCUUCAGAACUCAUAAUAACUUCAAAAAUUGGCACUAGUAUUUGUGGAAGGAAGGCAACAGAACAUUCUACCAGUAGGCUGGACUUUUUGAUUUUUCUGAACACUGAUUAAAACCUCAAUGUAAUCCUAUUUAUCCUUUUGAGGUUCUGCAGAUUCUUACCGGAUGAUUUUUCAUGUCUGGACUUUUCCUAACAUUGAUAAAGGAAGAAAGUUUAUUUUCUAGGUGUAUUUUUAAACUCUCAAUGGAAAGUAACUCAUGCAGAUAAAAAAAUUAUCUAAUUUUGUUUUCUAGGCCUUUCCUUUUACCCCUGCCUACUUCCGAACAAUUCAUGUGGAUCCUUUCAGAUAGGUUAUCAAACAAAUUAUUUCAAACAUAUAAUCAAUUAAUAAAUCUUUCAUAAGAACUGCUCCAUUUUUAAAUAAUAAUAAAAUACCUCCCCUACAUGC